CAAUGUUUGAUGGAGGUUACUUGGCCCAGGAAUGGUCAAACAGAUGGUUGCUUUUUUGUCUGCCAACUCUGGAGUCUGAAUUUGUUCAACUGGGGAUAACAUAUUGACCUUUGCUUCUGAAAAUUACAGGGGUUACCAUUCAUGUAUUUGUUGUGAAAUCCAGAGUCUGUCUUGAUGGAUUUGUAGUUUAAGCUGUACUUGUGUACAGAGUAGGGAAGGAGGAGAAGGAUGGUUGGGAUGACAUUCAUAUCAUAUGUGCUAUGUGCAUUUUAUUUAAUUUUUCUUGGUAUGUGCCACAGGAGAAGGAUGCAAGGG
rnacentral:misc_RNA from 1 species